ACACAGCCAUUCGGAUAUUAAUGAUCUGAGAGCUGUAAGAUCAAACGCAGAUCUACACGCGACUGUGUGUUAAAGUCCAGCGGUCUGAUGAACUAGUCCAUCAAAACACCACCAGCGUUCUACCUAAAUAAGCAUGCAAUGGGCAUCUCUCGUCUCGAUCUAGCUAAAUAUCCCAAUACCCCGUUGUCUGUGUCCUCAUUGCCGAUGCCAAACGAGCUCCAGUGCCAACACACCAGUCUCUCAAGGGCCACUGAUCUGCUCAAAUUAAAGCCACACGAGACGCAUCGGGAUCCCCUGGAUCAUCAUCACCAAACCUACGGACAGGCAGAUCAGACACUACCAAAGGACCACCAACAUCAUCUCCUCCUGGAGAAAUGUUACGUGGCUGUGAUGAGUCUGACUUCAGCCGACAAGAAGUGGCUCAUAGCUCUAAACCCCCUUUUCGACCACUGGAUCAAUUAACUAGUUCAGCAAACUAUCUACACGAAGCGACUGCCAAAACCUAGCGAUGACAAACCCCAAACCGAAGUGUUCAAGCUGUCUAAACGAUAUCUUGGAGAUAAAAUGAUCAGCUGGGACAAAGCUCAUGUUCUCCCCCUCGCUCUCUCUCUCUUUGCUUGUCAAAACAAAUGCAGGAGGACAGCCUCUAAGUCAUGUGUCCCAACAACAGCUCGUCCCGCCCCCAUGCUAGACGUCACUUCCGCCCCGCGGCACUGGCUUGAACUCGUUACCGCAGCAACGCGUGAGCUCAACCCACUUAUCUGAACACUUUUAGCUUUAUCUACCUUAAAGGUACCUAAAGUGUACAUAUUAGUACCUCAAAGGUACAGAAGUGUACCUUUUGAAAAUGUACUGCCGCAGUGACAGCUUUUGUAUCUUUUUUCUGAGAGUGUUUCAAAAAAGAGGUAGGCCUUAUUUUAUUAAGUAAAUUUAUUAAGAGAAUUUAAAAGAAUACUUUUGAAGUAAAGUAUAAUAUCAAUAUACUAGUAGUAUACUUUUAUG
ensembl:lncRNA